rnacentral:rRNA from 1 species
CCUACGGGAGGCAGCAGUGAGGAAUAUUGGUCAAUGGAGGCAACUCUGAACCAGCCAUGCCGCGUGAAGGAUGACGGCCCUAUGGGUUGUAAACUUCUUUUGAAUAGGAAGAAACUUAUCUACGUGUAGAUAACUGACGGUACUAUUAGAAUAAGGAUCGGCUAACUCCGUGCCAGCAGCCGCGGUAAUACGGAGGAUCCAAGCGUUAUCCGGAAUCAUUGGGUUUAAAGGGUCCGUAGGCGGUCUGAUAAGUCAGAGGUGAAAUCCUGCAGCUCAACUGUAGCAUUGCCUUUGAUACUGUUAGACUUGAGUUAUUGUGAAGUAGUUAGAAUGUGUAGUGUAGCGGUGAAAUGCAUAGAUAUUACACAGAAUACCGAUUGCGAAAGCAGAUUACUAACAAUAUACUGACGCUGAGGGACGAAAGCGUGGGUAGCGAACAGGAUUAGAUACCCUGGUAGUCCACGCCGUAAACGAUGGUCACUAGCUGUUCGACGUACAUUGGUACGUUGAGUGGCUAAGCGAAAGUGAUAAGUGACCCACCUGGGGAGUACGCUCGCAAGAGUGAAACUCAAAGGAAUUGACGGA